CAGCCGUAAACUAUGCUCGCUAGGUGUCAGGGACGGUGCGACCGUUUCUGGUGCCGCAGGGAAGCCGUGAAGCGAGCCACCUGGGAAGUACGGUCGCAAGGCUGAAACUUAAAGGAAUUGGCGGGGGAGCACUACAACGGGUGGAGCCUGCGGUUUAAUUGGACUCAACGCCGGGAAGCUCACCGGAUAAGACAGCGGAAUGAUUGCCGGGCUGAAGACCCUGCAUGACCAGCUGAGAGGUGGUGCAUGGCGUAGUCGUGU
rnacentral:rRNA from 1 species